rnacentral:rRNA from 1 species
UAUUACCUACGGGACGCAGCAGUGAGGAAUAUUGGUCAAUGGGCGGGAGCCUGAACCAGCCAGGUCGCGUGAGGGAAGACGGUCCUAUGGAUUUUAAACCUCUUUUGUCGGGGAGCAAAGAGGCCACGUGUGGUCAAAAGCGAGAGUACCCGAAGAAAAAGCAUCGGCUAACUCCGUGCCAGAAGCCGCGGUAAUACGGGGGAUGCGAGAGUUAUCCGGAUUUAUUGGGUUUAAAGGGUGCGUAGGCGGGACGGUAAGUCAGCGGAAAAAAUGCGG